ACGGGUCCCCUGCAAUAUUGGAGACAGUUGUAUUUGUCCCACCCAAAAAUUAAACCGCGGAGGAGAAAAAAAUUUGAUUUUGAAAUCUUUAACUCGCUGGCUUUUAUUUUGAAAGCGCCACACAGUGUCGCGUCACCGGCCGCCCCUCAGCGGCUCAGACUGUUGGGGAAGCGGGAUUGUACCCAUGUAACUUGAAAACGAGUAACGUUACACAUCCCCACAUCUAGAAAGGAGUUAGUCUGUCUGUGUAUUCGCUUGUUCUUGACAUUCCCAUCAGUGUUUUUCUAUACCUUAUUCAUCUCCACUGCUUUCAUAUUAGAGAUCAGAUGAAGUUCAGCUGGACACUCACAGUGGUGAGGGUGAUGCAGGGAGAGCAGCACUGCAGAGUUGCAGAAGAGAACCAUUGCUGGCAUGAGGGCUGCUGUCCAAGUUGUUAGGACCUCACUCAAGGCCGAAAGAGAUGAGGCAAGUUACAAAACUCUGUUUGAAGAGGCUGCAGGGAUCAUUCGUGGAUUGCCUGUAGAGAUACACCUAGAAACCCCCUAACGCCGGGGCAACAACAGAAGGACAACCCGGAGGUCGAGCUGCUCUGGAGGAUGACCUGUAGACCAGUAAUGUAGUUGUGAGUACCAGCAGCUGGAGUUCAGGACCACCGGGCAGCAGACAGGCCUCUGAUGCAGGGAUCUGAUGCUAAUCCCAGCAUCAGAGGUCAAUCAAGUUUUCCCUGAGGUUUGCAAUCACUGCUAAGUUCUCAGCCAUGGAGGGAAUAUCCUUCAGUGUCUACUACAGCCUGAGCUUCAUGUCCAUGGAGCCUUCAGUGGCUAAACCUUCCAGCUGUCACAGAAGAAGUUCACUAACCUUGGUUUGUUGGGCGGCUCAGCAGUGAGGUCAGAACUAAAGAGAAACAACACUUUAGUUUCUACUGAACAGAAAACAACCACACAUUGAUAUUAGAUAAUAAUGCAAACAGCAGAUGAUAUUUAAAGGUCCAAUGUGUAACACUGAGGAGGAUCUAUGGUCAGAAAUGGAAUAUAGGGCUGCCGAGGUAGCUGAUAGUGUAAAGCCCAAUCUCUCAGUAAUAGAACACAGCUCAUUUAGUGCCUCCAAGACAGAUCUGGUGUCUGCUGGGUCCAUAUUGUGGCCAGCUCUACUGUCACACUCUGUCACAAGCUUGUUAACAACCUUCCAAUGUUUCAUGUUUUUAUUUCAUACGAAUUAAACUGAACACAGUCACAAUAAUUUAAUCUGGAACAUUAGUUGUAAGUCAUACAUUUUAGCUAAGUAAGUUUUUUACUUUAUUUAUUUUGAAUAAAUACUGAAAUAUAAUAAGGAUUGGACUAACUUAUCAGUGCUACACUGAAUCUGAAUCAGUUUUAUCAGCCAGAAACAGUGUCAGUCUGAGUCCAGCAGAGGGCCAUGUUCACUGUGCACUGGUUCAUAUGAUUACACAGUGUGGAGGUGAAUGCACCAUGUUGAGAUUAUUGUUGCUCAGCUUUAUGGUUAUAUUCGUGUUUGUUAUGUAAAAAUGCGAUUUAUUUUACUGUUUAUUUUUAAAUACUGUAAAAGUUUUAGGCAGGUGUGAAAAAAUGCUGAACACGAAGAAUGCUUUAAUAGUUUAUUUGCAUUGUGACGGUCCCUGUCUAAUGUUGAUGUGCUGAUGUGGUUGACCAGUUAUUGUUUUUCCUAUGUGUCCUUGAAGGUACCAUCAGCAGAGUAUGGAUUUGGAGCACCUGGUUCAGGUGCUCCUAAAAGGAUAAAAACCCUGUCUCAACUUUGCUCUGGUCUCAGCUCUCUCUCUCUCAUUCGGCUGCAUCAGCAGCAGCAGCAGCACAUUCUCUUUGUUUGGUUUCUGCUUUGUUUUCACUUGACAACAUUUACACUUCAUAUUGCUCACACAUCCACAUUUACAUUACUGAUGUUACUGACUGACAGACUUCACAUUUCUUAUAACCUCAGUUGUUUAAAUUAAUAUAAUAAAUUCACUUAUUUCUUGCCAUCUAUUGUGUCCUAUGCCAUAUUUGUCGUGGCCUAGGAGCCGGGUUAUGAUAAACUGGGGGCUCGUCUGGCCAUGUUUGUUCCCGUUUUUUGCGCCAUUAUUUGUAAAUGUAUUCGUAAAUUUGGUAUUUGGUUACAGUAUAUCAGCAGGCGGUAGGGUGUUUGCUUAGAGCUUGUUGUAAGCCACUUUCUGGAGGAUUUUUCUAAUCCUAGGGUCUACUUUUUUUUGGUAACUCACACUUUGGAAAUUGGUGCACGUAUGCGUAAAGUUGUCGGGAGUGCUAGUGGUGCGCUCUGGUAUAGAUCCUUUGUUCUCCAGUUAACUGUGCAGGUGCAGGCCCGUAAAAGUUUGUUUGCUCUUGUUGGAGAGUGUAAAGCAGAGAUACUCAUUGCGC